GGCAGUGCUUAUGCUGGGAAGCCAUCCAAAGCAGGGAUGGUCCUGUCCCUCAGGAGCUUGUCCUUUGGAGCAACAGGGGACUCUUUCUGCAGGAACUAUCCAGGGAUGAUGAGUCCUCCAUAUAUAUGCUACAGGACAAGAUAAGAUGAGAUAGGAAAUGACCUCACAUUGUGCCAGAAGAUAUUUAGGCUGACUAUCAGAAAAAAAUCUUCAACAAAAAGGUUGUCAUCCAUUGGAACAGGAUGCCCACAGAAGUGACUGAGUAACCAUCCACUGAGGUAUUUAAAAGCAUGUGGAGAUGUGGUGCUCAGGAACUUGGCUCAGUGAGAGAUUUGGCUGUUUGGACUCAAUGAUUUCAAGCAUCUGUUCCAACUUAAAUGUUUCUAUGAUACAAAAAUAAAAAUGCCUCUUUCCCCCUG